AGUGAACGCUGGCGGUAUGCCUAACACAUGCAAGUCGAACGGCAGCACAGUAAGCGCUUGCUCUUACUGUUGGCGAGUGGCGGGCGGGUGACGCAUACAUCGCAAUCUACUUUUUCGUGGGUGAUAUCGUAGGGCAACUUACACUACUACCUCAUACUUCCUACGGCUUAGAGCAGGAGAUCUUCACACCUUUCCCGUCUCAUUUAGCCGAUGUCGGAUUAGCUAGUUGGCGGGGUAAAGGCCCACCAAGGCGACGAUCCGUAGCUGGUCUGAGAGGAUGAUCAGCCACACUGGAACUGAGACACGGUCCAGACUCCUACGGGAGGCAGCAGUGGGGAAUAUUGGACAAUGGGCGCAAGCCUGAUCGAGCCAUACCGCGUGGGUGAAGAAGGCCUUCGGGUUGUAAAGCCCUUUUGUUGGGAAAGAAAAGCAGCAGGUUAAUACCCCGCUGUUCUGACGGUACCCAAAGAAUAAGCACCGGCUAACUUCGUG
rnacentral:rRNA from 1 species